UUUUACUUCGAAUCCUUCACUCGAAGUUAGUGAAUCGGCCAAUAGAUGUUUCGAGACUCGCUCUUUAUCAAGUGUGACUAUUGUAAGGUUUUCUGGGUGCCAACACUGCUGAGCUGAGUCCUUUCCUGGAGCUGGAAGUAAGUCCUGUAUUUACCCGGCUCUGUUUUGCUACAAAAGUCAAGCUACACUCCUAUUCUUGUACCUCCUCAUUUCAGUCUGUGCUCCUUGCACAGAGAUAUAAGAACUAUAACUCACAGGCCACUACUGUGUAUAGCACACCUCCACUGUUCACUUGGGGACCCCUUUCAGUUUACUUUCUCUAGCCAAUUACAAUAAUGUGAGGCAUGUUUCCCGUCUCAGAGGAGAAUGAUGAAAUAAUCAAUUAAAUGAAUAAGGAGAGGGGACCACCAAUGAUGGGUACUUGUCUGUAUAAAGACUCAGUUACAAGAUCAAAAGAAAUAAAUAGGGAAAGAGGAGAUUUAGGAAGGUUGAGAAUAUUGGUAUCUGAAGGGUGGAAAGAUUGCUUGUGGGUGACUGUAAUUGUCCACUGCUGGAGUGUAAAAAUGGUGGUUAGAUUGAGAAAUUGUGAUGGCCAUGAAUGAGACAGGUACCGUAUGUGAUAACAGAAGUCAACCUAAAUCAUUUCAGGGCUGUGAAAACAUAGAAAUAAGAGAGCCGUGAUUCAGAGAAGUCAGAGACUGAUGUAGCAGAAGAUUUGGCAGAAGGAGAUAACAGAUGUUCACCUACACAGAGGGGAUCACCAGCGUUACAGUCAGUUACAAUAAAAGAUGAUUUUCCAUUUUUAUACUGCAUACCAAUAAAAAAAUUUAACUAACAAA